GACGAACGCUGGCGGCGUGCUUAACACAUGCAAGUCGAACGGAAAGGCCCUGCUUUUGUGGGGUGCUCGAGUGGCGAACGGGUGAGUAACACGUGAGUAACCUGCCCUUGACUUUGGGAUAACUUCAGGAAACUGGGGCUAAUACCGGAUAGGAGCUCCUGCUGCAUGGUGGGGGUUGGAAGGUUUCGGCGGUUGGGGAGGGUCUCGCGGCUUAUCAGCUUGUUGGUGGGGUAGUGGCUUACCAAGGCUUUGACGGGUAGCCGGCAUGAGAGGGUGACCGGCCACAUUGGGACUGAGAUACGGCCCAGACUCCUACGGGAGGCAGCAGUGGGGAAUAUUGCACAAUGGGCGGAAGCCUGAUGCAGCAACGCCGCGUGCGGGAUGACGGCCUUCGGGUUGUAAACCGCUUUCGCCUGUGACGAAGCGUGAGUGACGGUAAUGGGUAAAGAAGCACCGGCUAACUACGUG
rnacentral:rRNA from 1 species